GCCAGCCUCGCCGGGCCCGGCUUCUCAGAAGAGCCGCCCAAAGCUCGGGGCCGUCCGGCGUGCGGGCAGCGCGGGACAUGCGCCCGCAGCAGCCGGGCAGAAUCCCCGAGCAGGGCCCCGUCUAUCAGCACCGCCAGCCUGCCCGUGACUCAGCAUCCUCCGCCCCGCUCCCGCUUCCUCCCGGCACCCGGGAAUCGCCGCCGGCACGCUCAGAGGAUGCUCCCGCAAAAUGCGGAGGGAAGCGAGGCGCUCAUGCGAACGGCUCCUGAGCCAGGUGGGAGAUUCCCAGGGCAGGGAAUUCGCCUUCCAAGAUUUCGGGCUCGCUUCGCACCGGCUUCGGGAGGGGGAAAAAGCCGGGCUUCGUCUGCGCCACGCGGUGGGAAGCAGCCGAAGGCCGUCUCCAGUAGCAACGCGCUUUUCCAAGCCGACGGUGGGAAACGCUCCCCAGCGCUUCCUCCUCCCAGCGCUGGCACAAGGCCGGCCUCUCUGCUUCUGCCUGGCGCACUUCCCACAUGGAAAGAGCUAUCCCGGAUGAAUCCAUGCCGGAAUUAACCACAGCAGCCUCCCACUCCCCUGCUCAGCCCCAGGUUUCAGUAGCGACAUCCACAGGGAUGCGAGUUCCCGAUGCUUCUCCCUGCUCCAGCCCGUUGUGCUCGCAAAGCUGGAAUCCGGCAGCCGGUGGCUUUAAGGCAGAAUUUACAUUUUAUUCCUCCUAUGUUCCCGCGAGGAGCUCCUGGCCAUCCCACAGCCAGAGGAGCCGGCAGCACCAAGCAGUGCCAGGGCAGUGCUGGGAGCCAGCACCUCAAUCCUGCCACCCUCUCCCGGAGGAUGAGCAUUCAGAGCCAGCUGGCCUCGCCACGGAGGAGCUGCCGGAUCCAACUCGCCACCUUCCCACCACGGAACAGCUAUCCAGGGGCUGUGGCCGCAUGGGAAGGUCACCCUGCACCACAAAUGCAGCCUCGAGGGGAGGUGUGAGGGAGCAGAGCCGUGCCCCUGUGCCCAGCCCUGCUCACGCUCUCCGUGGGUGCAGCACCAGCACCUGAAAAUGAAACCGGCCCCACUCGCCGCAGUUCCACGCCAGUGACGUGCAUAGGAAAUGUGAUUGAUGCGCCGGCUCUCCCAGAAAUAACUGUUCCCAACCGGAGGAGAAGCGUUUGCAGCUCCCUUUGUAAGCACAGGACUAUUCAAAACUCAUCCCAAGGAUUAUUUUCAGGAGAGGGCGAAGCGAGGGGCUGGGAGACGCCCUGGCCGGCCCCGCAGCUCCCCGCUUCCUGAGUGGCAGAAAUACAAAGUUCCCACAAUCCCAAGAGCGGGAACAUUGUUCCUUCCCAGGAUGUCCUCCAUGAAAAGAGCUAUUCUGAGCCGGCUGCAGCCUUUCUUGGCAUGGCCCCGCAGCCGCUCCGAGGCGGCUAUAAAAGGCCAGGUUACAAUGAA